rnacentral:rRNA from 1 species
UGGGUACUUGACACUACGGCACUGGCGCAGAGGAGGGCGUCAGGUGGAAGGGGAGAGGGAGAAGGAAGGAGAGGGCGGCGGCCGCUUUGGAACUAGCGCUCCCCAUAUGCGCCCCUCUCUUUCUACCCCUUGCACAAGCACUUCUUCGGAUUCUAGUGCCUCCAGCUGUUCCGGUAGGAGCGGGAGUUCUGCGUCGCGGCGUUCGAGCGCGUCAAGGUCGUCGUCGAACUCUUCCACUAGCUUCGUCUUUUCCUUCGACGUGCGGUCAACCAAGUUGUUUUCUUCUCUCUGUCUCGAAACUAACGUGACUUCUUCUUCUUUAGGGUCCUUCUCGAGGACUUUGUUCAACUAUGUACCGUUUACUUACAGCUUGUCGUCGACCGUCUAUAACUUGAUCGUUCGUUCGUUUUUCGACAUAACCUUUCGGAUUUCUGACCUUUACGACGGGAAUUCAGAUAUGUCUUACUCUAAUUGUAGCUGCUACAGGUUUUCAAUUACCUACUGUGUCGACUCCGGUUCCGAAUAGUCCUACUUUAUUUACGGCGAGACCCACUUGUUGAUAGACGACUCCUACUCCUCCGACAGUACCGACUUAAGCUGUUGAACCUUCGACUCGAACGUGAACUAAGAGACGGACUACGAGGGUAAUGACUACAUGUUGGACUUUUCUUUUGAUUCCGUGGCCGAAUGUGACUUCGAGGUCGACUUCUGUAACUACUACAAUAACUCGAAGGACUACAUGGAUGAUUUCGCGGACUCUCCGGACUUCGAGGUCUUUUUUGUUUUCAGAACCUUCUCGGUGAUGGACGUAUCAACCACCUCGACUCGACUUGUCCCGUGAGGUUCAGGACGCCAAACGUCCUCGACAUUUUAUAGACGGUAAACUAACAUGACGAAUUAAAACAGUAAAGUAUUCAAAGUAACACAUGUCUUAGACUUUACAACCAGAGUCAAUAGCUAACUACGUCACUGCUGGACACGGACAACAUGUAAAUCAUCAGAUUCGUAGCUAAUACCAUAGUCUACAGACAAAGAACUAACAGCAAACAUCUAACUAUCUAGGUCGAUGUUAAUUUAACACAAUUGACCGUAAGACAAAGUAACCAACCUAGAAAUGCUGCUGAACCGAUGAAACGUGAGUCCAUACAUUUGUCAAGGUAAAGUACAAGUAGUAAAGACUAAACGAUGGACGAGAAGGUCUAAAGACGGCGAUUUGUAUCGUUCAAACCACGUCUGUAAAUACAUCAACGACCCAACUCAUACAACGGCGACGACCGGUUCAGAGACAACAUCGACGACGACGACCACUAGAACGACAAUUUUACCAGACAACUCUAACUACGACUUUUUGCCAACGUAAGGAUAAAAUUGGUAAAAUUGUUGUACAGUUAUUGUUCAUGACACAAGGAGCUUUACCGUUUAACCUUCUUUUCUUACUACAAUACGGUCUCAAUAUAUUCCUUACGAGUUCAUGGAACAAUACUUGUUGACUAAUAAAAAUCUUACCUACACCGUGACUGUCCAAAAGUCGUACGAUAAAAUUGGUAAAAUUGUCGUACAGUUAUGUUCAAUAUCUUUUGUUGUAACUGUUAAUGUAAAAUACUGUCUAGCUAGAUGCUUAAAGUUGAAGAAUACUAGUUUUGUUGGAAAAACAUCUAAU